rnacentral:misc_RNA from 1 species
UCCGAGUUGACCCCGGCAGUCUCCUGCGAGUCCCCGGCUUUACCCGCUGGCAACACAGGACAAGGGUUGCGCUCGUUGCGGGACUUAACCCAACAUCUCACGACACGAGCUGACGACAACCAUGCACCACCUGUGCACCGACCUUACGGGGCACCUAUCUCUAGGUGUUACCGGUGCAUGUCAAGCCUUGGUAAGGUUCUUCGCGUUGCGUCGAAUUAAGCCACAUGCUCCGCCGCUUGUGCGGGCCCCCGUCAAUUCCUUUGAGUUUCAGCCUUGCGGCCGUACUCCCCAGGCGGGGCACUUAACGCGUAAGCUGCGACACGGAAGGGGCCGAUCCCCCCCGCAUCCAGUGCCCAUCGUUUACCGCGUGGACUAC